CGGAGGAGUGUCUGAGCGGUUUAAGGUGCGGGCUUGGAAAGCUCGUGUGCGGAAACGCACCGUAGGUUCGAAUCCUAUCUCCUCCGCCAU
rnacentral:tRNA from 1 species